CAAGAAGGAAGGACUCUUCCCCCACCAUCAGCACCCAAAGCUGACAU
rnacentral:tRNA from 1 species